rnacentral:lncRNA from 1 species
UGUCAAGACAUAUGAAUUGGUAUUGGAUCUAUUAAUCUUUUCUUGUUUACAUAUAUAUGUAACGAUCCAGCCCACUGGCAAUAAUAACUCGUUGGGUCCAAACCACCGACCCAAAAUGCUUAAGUUCAUUUAUUAUUACUAGUGUCUAAGUCUCUUUAUAUACCUAAUCACAUCUGUAUUCCUAUCUGAUGUGGGAUUAUUAGGAUGUGACAAUAUAUACAUAUUCAUGUUAUUGAUGAGUAAUUAUAUCAUAUGAGA